CGGUAAUUCCAGCUCCAAUAGCGUAUAUUAAAAUUGUUGCAGUUAAAAAGCUCGUAGUUGAAUUUCUGCUAAAAAUAACCGGUCUGCUUUUAAUAAAGGUGGUAUCUUGGUGUGUUUUYAGCAAUAAUGUCCUUUGAAAUGUUUUUUACUUCAUUGUAAGAAAUUAUAUUCAGGAUUUUUACUUUGAGAAAAUUAGAGUGUUUCUAGCAGGCUAACGCUUUGAAUACUGCAGCAUGGAAUAAUAAAAUAGGAUUUUGGUUCUACAUUAUUGGUUUUAAGAGCUAAAUUAAUGAUUGAUAGGGACAGUUGGGGGCAUUUGUAUUUAACUGUCAGAGGUGAAAUUCUUA
rnacentral:rRNA from 1 species